AGCCUCGUAGCUCAAGUGACCAGAGUGUUGGCUGUAUUAAGGCCUUCACCUUACUGUCGUGAGUUCGAAUCCCACCGAGGCCA
rnacentral:tRNA from 1 species